GUAGGUGGGGUAACGGCUCACCUAGGCGACGAUCCCUAGCUGGUCUGAGAGGAUGACCAGCCACACUGGAACUGAGACACGGUCCAGACUCCUACGGGAGGCAGCAGUGGGGAAUAUUGCACAAUGGGCGCAAGCCUGAUGCAGCCAUGCCGCGUGUAUGAAGAAGGCCUUCGGGUUGUAAAGUACUUUCAGCGGGGAGGAAGGGAGUAAAGUUAAUACCUUUGCUCAUUGACGUUACCCGCAGAAGAAGCACCGGCUAACUCCGUGCCAGCAGCCGCGGUAAUACGGAGGGUGCAAGCGUUAAUCGGAAUUACUGGGCGUAAAGCGCACGCAGGCGGUUUGUUAAGUCAGAUGUGAAAUCCCCGGGCUCAACCUGGGAACUGCAUCUGAUACUGGCAAGCUUGAGUCUCGUAGAGGGGGGUAGAAUUCCAGGUGUAGCGGUGAAAUGCGUAGAGAUCUGGAGGAAUACCCGGUGGCGAAGGCGGCCCCCUGACGAAGACUACG
rnacentral:rRNA from 1 species